UACGGGGGGGGCAAGCGUUGUUCGGAAUUACUGGGCGUUAAGGGUUUGUAGGUGGCUUGCUAAGUCAGACGUGAAAUCCCUCAGCUUAACUGGGGAACUGCGUCUGAGACUGGCAAGCUUGAGUGCAGGAGAGGAACGCGGAAUUCCAGGUGUAGCGGUGAAAUGCGUAGAUAUCUGGAGGAACACCGGUGGCGAAGGCGGCGUUCUGGACUGUAACUGACACUGAUGAACGAAAGCCAGGGGAGCAAACGGG
rnacentral:rRNA from 1 species